AGUGCAUGAUGACUUUGCGGUAUCCGACUGCGGCAUGCGGAUAACUACCUUGGAGAACUGAGCACU